GCAUGGAGGGGCAUGGCAGCGAUAAGCAUGACGGGGCAUGGCACGCGCAUGAUAGGAUGGCGGAGUAAUGGGAUCAGUGGGAUUUGCGGGGGUCACAGAACCGACCAAAACAUACUACUCUUGGUUAUUUGAAAUUUUUGUAUCAGUGUAGCUAUUAUUAUUAAUAUUGUUGUGAUAUUAUAAAUUUAGAAUAGUAUAAUAGGACGGCAUUUUAAAAUUUUCACCAAAAAUGGCACUGGACAGCAGCCCCAAUAACGUAAUUCACUGUACGCCUAUCGAUUGGAAUUUCUAUCAAGCGUCAUUAAAAACGAUGCGCUAAAAAAUACAUUAAGCGUUGAGAUUGAUUGCAUUUUUAUAUCCAGCAAUGGGUUUUAAUCAGACACAUGUGCGUGUGCCGUGUAGAUAACGCAUGCCUAUAUGAUGGUGUACGAAAAAACGGCGGACAUGAUAUGUACCAUGUGUUUGUGUGCUCACCUCUGUGGACUAAAACUCGCAAGCGAUUCUAACCCAUCUAUUUCUUCGCCUAGCUACGUCGAAUCCGUCGGUGUUCAGAUGUAUUACACACCACAAGUAUUUCGAUUAAAAAGAGACAUAUUUUCUUAGUCAUGCGAGUGCGCAACGAAUGAAGAAAAACUCGAUCGUGACAAUUUAUUGUAUCACUACAUUGGCAGAUUUGCUUAUUGGAAAAUGACAUGUGCAAAUCAUGUGAGAUUGAUAUGAUGUACAAUGACAAAUUAUCGAUAAGUGUCCAGCUUCAAAAAUUGUGUGACAAGUCUUAUUAUUAUUCAAAAUUAAAUACUGAUUUAACUAUUUUUUUUUUUUAAAUUAUAAUCAUAAUUUUAAAAAGCCAAAAUUUUAUAUUGAUAAUACAAUAUUAUUUUUAAAGUAAUCAAAUGUUUAAUUUUUGUAACUAUUCGGUUUUAUAGUAUUACAACAUUUAGAAUUUAAUUAAAAGUAUAUUAUAGUAGAAAGUAAAAACAUGAUAUUGCAGAACAAUUAGGAACCAACUUUCAUCCAGAUUACCGGAAGUUUUUCAACGGUACAUAAAAUAAUAUAUUUAUUAUAUAUAUUUAUUGUAUCUCUUAUUGCAGUUGUACGAAAUUGACACAUCAAAUUAGUAAUUUGUUGUUGUCCUUUGUGAUUUUAGAAUUAUUUUUUUAGUCAUUAUUAUAUUUAAUAUUUCUA